UUCCCGAGCUGGUGAGAUAUUAUGUUGGCCUACAACUGAAAUCCCUCCCAUGGAGUCCCACUUAGCCUGUGGGACUUGUUAUCCAGCACAUUUGGAGGGAACCAAUCUGGGUGAUGCAACAGUAGACUGAUACAGCCAUCCUUAGCAAGUAAGGGCAAUUUCUCUAAACAACAAAAGCCCCUACUCCAGGACAGCAAUGUGCUUUCUAUGGCCACUUAUUUAAACAAUCUAGUCUCAUCAUUCUAAUAAAUAAAGAAAGAAAGUGUACAACAGUCUGGAAGGAAACCAAAAGACAGAAGAAAAACAGGGAGUUCUAAGUGUCAAAGUAAAUAUACUGCAAAUCCAGGUCUCCUGGCAUGAGUUGGGCAUGAGAUCCAUUGUGACACUACCUGAGCUUUCAUUACACAUUGUUUGUUCUAAAUGUUCUAAAACUGGUUCAUAGAAAUGUUAUAUGCUCAUAACACUUUUUUCAAAAAACAAACAAACACUUUAAGUGGAAACAAAGGAGCAAUGAUGAAAAAAAUCUUGUUGUGAUGGAAUAACUGCUGCAGAAGUAAGGGAACUACUUGUACAUGUUCAGUGGGGGAAAGUAAGAAUUAAAUAUGAGAGGAAAGGAAGAAUUAAACAUGGUUGCUCCUCAUAUGGUUGCUUCUCUUUUGAUUCGGUUUCUGUCAACUUAUGAAUUAUGGUAUAAUGUUAAAAACUGAACUGUAGGAUCUUAUUGUCAUGCCUCUCCCCCACGAGUUCAGCUUGUGAGGAAGAAGCAGAGCUAUCUAUCAGGCCCCCUCUUGAGCAUUCAGCUUCAGAAGAUGAGGCAGACUUACCACAGCUGUGCCCUG